GAUGAACGCUGGCGGCGUGCCUAAUACAUGCAAGUCGAGCGAACGGACGAGAAGCUUGCUUCUCUGAUGUUAGCGGCGGACGGGUGAGUAACACGUGGAUAACCUACCUAUAAGACUGGGAUAACUUCGGGAAACCGUAGCUAAUACCGGAUAAUAUUUUGAACCGCAUGGUUCAAAAGUGGAAGACGGUCUUGCUGUCACUUAUAGAUGGAUCCGCGCUGCAUUAGCUAGUUGGUAAGGUAACGGCUUACCAAGGCAACGAUGCAUAGCCGACCUGAGAGGGUGAGCGGCCACACUGGAACUGAGACACGGUCCAGACUCCUACGGGAGGCAGCAGUAGGGAAUCUUCCGCAAUGGGCGAAAGCCUGACGGAGCAACGCCGCGUGAGUGAUGAAGGUCUUCGGAUCGUAAAACUCUGUUAUUAGGGAAGAACAUAUGUGUAAGUAACUGUGCACAUCUUGACGGUACCUAAUCAGAAAGCCACGGCUAACUACGUG
rnacentral:rRNA from 1 species